CAAUAGCGUAUAUUAAAGUUGUUGCAGUUAAAAAGCUCGUAGUUGGAUUUCUGCUGAGAACGCCUGGUCCGCUCUUAAUAGAGUGUGCACUGGGUUUAAACGGUUUCAGCAUCUUUCUGGGUAGUACUGUCCACUUGUAUCUUACGGUAUGGGUGGGUAUAUCCAGGACUUUUACUGUGAACAAAUUAGAGUGUUUCAAGCAGGCUAUUGCCUUGAAUACUGCAGCAUGGAAUAAUAAGAUAGGAUUUCGGUUCUAUUUUGUUGGUUUCUAGGACUGAAGUAACGAUUAAUAGGGACAGUUGGGGGCAUUCGUACUUAACUGCUAGAGGUGAAAUUCUUAGAUUUGUUAAAGACGAACUACUGCGAAAGCAUUUGCCAAGGAUGUUUNCGUUAA
rnacentral:rRNA from 1 species